GGGUGAUGGGGGUCGGGCUAGACCUUUUUUCGUUUUGCCAUGCAGGAAGUGGUGGAACAGGCCUGGUUGGUUUUGGUGGGGCUCCCUGCUGAUUUUAGAUUUAAAACAGCGGGGUUUGUGGUGGUGAGUGUGUCCUUGUCAACAGGGUUGGGGAGCAGAUGGAAUGUCAGGACAUGGUGGGUCUCAACCUCCCUUGCUCUGUAAAGUAAACUUUUAAGUUACCGAAUAGGAC